rnacentral:rRNA from 1 species
UACGGGGGGGGCAAGCGUUGUUCGGAAUUAUUGGGCGUAAAGGGCGCGUAGGCGGCUUUUCAAGUGGCGGGUGAAAUCCCUCGGCUUAACCGAGGAACUGCCUGCCAGACUGGAAGGCUUGAGACCGGGAGAGGUGAGUGGAAUUCCCAGUGUAGCGGUGAAAUGCGUAGAUAUUGGGAGGAACACCAGUGGCGAAGGCGGCUCACUGGACCGGAACUGACGCUGAGGCGCGAAAGCGUGGGGAGCAAACAGG